rnacentral:rRNA from 1 species
AUUCCAGCUCCAAUAGCGUAUAUUAAAGUUGUUGCGGUUAAAAAGCUCGUAGUUGGAGUUCUGCCAGGUGCCACCUGUCCGCCCCAGUGGUGAGUACGUGGUGCGCAUUUGGCCCUUUCAAGGGGAGCGUAUUUGCACUUAAUUGUGUGGUGCGGGAUCCUUGACUUUUACUUUGAGGAAAUAAGAGUGUUCCAAGCAGGCUCUCGUCGUGCAUAGCUCAGCAUGGAAUAAUAGCAUUGGACCUCGAUUCUAAGCUGUUGGUUGCCAGAAGCGAGGUAAUGAUGAAGAGGGAUAGUUGGGGGCAUUCAUAUUUAAUUGUCAGAGGUGAAAUUCUUGGAUUUAUGAAAGAUGAACUCAUGCGAAAGCAUUUACCAAGGAUGUUUUCAUU